GAUUGUGAAGGUGAGCAGGUAUGGAAGAUGAGUUGUGCUAUUCAACAGUUAUCUUCAAGCCAUUUGACAAUGACAAAUCUACAGGUACAGAAAAAGAAGCCGCCAUCCAGAUCUCUACAGCUUUUAGAUGAGCUACAGUGUUUCUGGGGCUGCUCUGCUUCCUGCGUUAACAGCUGUCAGCGCUUUCAACUACAUUCAAAUGUCUAACUACAACAAUACUGUGGUAAGACCAAAGCCUGAAACAACAUUUAGCACUUACAGGGAUAGUUCACCCAAAAAUUUAAAUUCUGAUGAAUUCUGAUCAAAAUCAUGGGUACUGGAUUGGACUCUGAAAAGUCAGAAACUGCUUGGGUCUGGACCACUGGCACCAAACUAGAGGGAGGAUUUUGGAUCAGUGGACCCUCAGAAGGAUACAUGGACUGUGUUCUGUCAAUGACCAGCAAAAACCCACUGAAAAGCUGGAUAUCAACAAGAUGUCACAUGUACAAUAGAUG